rnacentral:rRNA from 1 species
UGCCAGCCGCCGCGGUAAUACGGAGGAUGCAAGCGUUAUCCGGAUUCAUUGGGUUUAAAGGGUGCGCAGGCGGGUUUGUAAGUCAGUGGUGAAAUCCUGCCGCUUAACGGUAGAAUUGCCAUUGAUACUGCGAAUCUUGAGUAUGGUUGAGGUAGGCGGAAUGUGUAGUGUAGCGGUGAAAUGCAUAGAUAUUACACAGAACUCCGAUUGCGAAGGCAGCUUACUAAGCCAUAACUGACGCUGAGGCACGAAAGCGUGGGGAGCGAACAGGAUUAGAUA